rnacentral:rRNA from 1 species
GAGUUUGAUCCUGGCUCAGAACGAACGCUGGCGGCAUGCCUAACACAUGCAAGUCGAACGGGAUCCAGCCUUCGGGUUGGUGAGAGUGGCGGACGGGUGAGUAACGCGUGGGAACCUGCCCAGUGGUGGGGGAUAACUGCGGGAAACUGCAGCUAAUACCGCAUGAGCCCGAGAGGGGAAAGAUUUAUCGCCAUUGGAGGGGCCCGCGUUCGAUUAGGUAGUUGGUGAGGUAACGGCUCACCAAGCCGACGAUCGAUAGCUGGUCUGAGAGGAUGAUCAGCCACACUGGGACUGAGAUACGGCCCAGACUCCUACGGGAGGCAGCAGUGGGGAAUAUUGGACAAUGGGGGCAACCCUGAUCCAGCAAUGCCGCGUGAGUGAUGAAGGCCUU